GAAGGGGCGGCAGCUUACCAUGCAGUCGAACGGCAGCACGGGUGCUUGCACCUGGUGGCGAGUGGCGAACGGGUGAGUAAUACAUCGGAACAUGUCCUGUAGUGGGGGAUAGCCCGGCGAAAGCCGGAUUAAUACCGCAUACGAUCUACGGAUGAAAGCGGGGGACCUUCGGGCCUCGCGCUAUAGGGUUGGCCGAUGGCUGAUUAGCUAGUUGGUGGGGUAAAGGCCUACCAAGGCGACGAUCAGUAGCUGGUCUGAGAGGACGACCAGCCACACUGGGACUGAGACACGGCCCAGACUCCUACGGGAGGCAGCAGUGGGGAAUUUUGGACAAUGGGCGAAAGCCUGAUCCAGCAAUGCCGCGUGUGUGAAGAAGGCCUUCGGGUUGUAAAGCACUUUUGUCCGGAAAGAAAUCCUUGGCUCUAAUACAGUCGGGGGAUGACGGUACCGGAAGAAUAAGCACCGGCUAACUACGUGCCAGCAGCCGCGGUAAUACGUAGGGUGCGAGCGUUAAUCGGAAUUACUGGGCGUAAAGCGUGCGCAGGCGGUUUGCUAAGACCGAUGUGAAAUCCC
rnacentral:rRNA from 1 species